GUCUGAUGAGAAGCCUGCAAGAGGCAGAGUUCCCCCACAAGCUCUGGAAGAUGAGUUGACCAGGCAAGGAGACUUUUUUCUGGACUUUCAGUUUGGGAGAGCUGAAGCUGGGCCCUGAGAUCUCUUUGCACUUCCUGGUUUCAGCCAUAACCAGAAGGUGAAGUACUGAAUUGAGAGAAAGUGUCUGCCAUACAGAUUUAAGCUUCUGAAAAUUCUUUGUAGGCAGGAUUAACAUCAGUUGGAGGCUUUCAAGAAGUGCUAUUGGCAUCUGCUCUGUGUGUCACAGAAAGAAAAUCAGAAACACCAGUCAAUGUGCAUUACACCAUCUGGAGAGUCAAGAGCCAGUCUUCAGACAGAUCCAGCUGGGAAAGUUGAAGUAUUUCAGUUCUGUUUUAUGCAGAACUGCUGAGAAUCUAGAGAUGGUGUUUAUGGUGUGAGUGCCAGGAUUGUAAUCAGAAGGUGGGCACAGAAAGCACUGGUUAUACGUGUAGACAGUAGAAUCAAAAGGCCAAGAUGGGUACAUGUAGUAUUGGAGCCGGGAAGGGGUUGGUGAUGGCUCAUUGGGGGUGCCACCUUUGGCUAUAUCUAUUGGCUUGAAAACAAACCACUCAUUCACCUUAGGGCCUUGUGGGGCAGUUGAGGGGGAAGCGUCAGUGGGCCCUCCUAUCUCCCUAUUAGCUCUGUCACUGGGUUCAUGUGUAUGAUAGUCCAUGCCAUUAAACCAUGAUAUUAGCAUGAUGAUAAUGAUGUUGAGAAAUACCUCAAACUUCAGGUGGUUGGUUGUUGCAUUACUCCAGAAAACAGCACAAAACUCUCUCGCUCAUUUCUGUUCCUAUUCUAAACUUGUGUUUGUAUCCAGUGAGUUUAUUUGUAUAAUUUAAUUUUGUAUUUCUGAGACCAACAUUUUUGUUUAAGAAAAAAAUGACAGACCUAUAUUCCCUCACUUCCAAUAUUUAUCCAUCAACAUGAAUAACUGCCCUGGGAAAUUUUCCAUUUCAGGCAAAAGAAGAAAAAUAUUAAAGUGAGAGUUUUCAGGCAGUCAAUACCUUGGAGUCCCAUCUGUACUCUCAUAACAGUUACCUAGUUUCAUUAUUUGUGUAUCAGCUGUCUUCUUUCCCUGCUGGAUUGACAGGAACUGUACCUGCUAAGAUUUCAAAAUUUAAAUCAUGACUUGCUUGCUUUGUAACACUUUUCAAGAAAAAAACUUUUUACACGCACACAGACAAACCCAUUGGAUGGGCUAGGCAGAUUGUAAUUUUCAUUUAUUUUAAGAUUUCAGAUUAUUUAUUUGAAAUGUUAAUCAUUAUAUUAAGGCUGCUUCACUUUUGCAAUGUAGUUUUAAGUUAUGUACUGUAGUUACUGUAUUCUAGUUGAAUUAUUUUGCAAUUAAAAUCACUGCUUGAUGCAGUUUUUUAUGGAAGAUUGCUUUAAAAUAUUAAUUGUAUCAGCAAACUAACUUCUCAGACAACUUUAAUUCUUUCACAAC